GACGAACGCUGGCGGCGUGCCUAAUACAUGCAAGUAGAACGCUGUAGCGAGGAGCUUGCUCUUCUUGGAUGAGUUGCGAACGGGUGAGUAACGCGUAGGUAACCUGCCUUGUAGCGGGGGAUAACUAUUGGAAACGAUAGCUAAUACCGCAUAACAAUGGAUGACACAUGUCAUUUAUUUGAAAGGGGCAAUUGCUCCACUACAAGAUGGACCUGCGUUGUAUUAGCUAGUAGGUGAGGUAACGGCUCACCUAGGCGACGAUACAUAGCCGACCUGAGAGGGUGAUCGGCCACACUGGGACUGAGACACGGCCCAGACUCCUACGGGAGGCAGCAGUAGGGAAUCUUCGGCAAUGGGGGCAACCCUGACCGAGCAACGCCGCGUGAGUGAAGAAGGGUUUCGGAUCGUAAAGCUCUGUUGUAAGUCAAGAACGAGUGUGAGAGUGGAAAGUUCACACUGUGACGGUAGCUUACCAGAAAGGGACGGCUAACUACGUG
rnacentral:rRNA from 1 species